GGUAUCACCUGCUAAGAAAUGGUACUUCAGUUCCAGUCUGGCCUUGAAAAACAGAGUGGCUCAGUCCCCUGAGAAUAAAUCCAGUAUAUUUUCCAUUGGCAAGUACAGAAAACAAAGAAGAAAAAAUGUUUCUCCCAUUCAGACAAACUGCACACAGUAGAGACUUUUUUCUAGAAUACAGAUAUUUAAUACUUAUUAAUGAAAGAACUGUCAUAUGUAAAGACCUAUGAAAAAUGAAGUAUAAAACUUGGUUCUUGUUUUUUCAGAUUUUCUAGAUAGGAACAUAAAGCACACAUACUAUAGGUUGAGCACCCCUAGUCUGAAAUUCAAAAUGCUCUAAAAUCUGAAUUUUUUUGAACACUAAAACAUGUUGCCACAAUGCAAAACUCCACACCAGACCUGUGAUGGGUCACACUCAAAACAUUAUAAAUGAUUAUCAGAAGCAUUUAAAGUGAGAGUUGGGAAUGAUGUUGAUGCCAAACCACCACAGUUUGUCCUCGUGGGUGGUGGUGAAUGACACCUUUGCUUUGUGAUAGUUCAGUGUACAAAAACUUGGUUUUAUGCAGAAAAUUAUGAAAAGUAUUAUGCAAAAAUACCUCACUCUGUAUGCAUAAGCUACAUAUGAAACAUAAAUGAAUUUUGUGUUUACACUUGGGUCACAUUCCCAAAAUGUCUCAUUCUAUUACAACUAUUCCGAAAUCCAAAACACUUCUGGUACCAAGCUUUUCAGAUAACUGACAGACACUUAAGUUAUGGCUACAAAUAAAAGUGUUGUCAAUGAAAGUCUUCCCAAGGACAUACAGGUCUAACAGAAAAAUAUUAUAGACUAUAAUUUCAAAGAAAGGUUAUUUGAGCCCAACAGAAAAACUUUGUAGAAUGGGGACAUGAUCUUGGACUUUAGGCAAUUAAAUUUUGGCAUGGGGGAUUAUUUCAGGGAAAGAAAAUACUUGUAUUGAGGCUCGCUGUCUUUGUAAGGGGAGAGCCAUCUUAUAUUUGGACUGAAAUAAUGAUGGCAAGAGAAAAGGAAAGGGCUUUCAACAUCAUGAAAUUAGAUCUGCUGAUGUAAAUUAGUACUGCUGUGUCCUUUCUUACACUGAUCUUUUGUACAUGAAUGUCCACCUAUCUGCUAGGUGUCUAAAAGUGGAAUUACUAGGUCAUUGAAUAUACAUGUUUGACCUUAGUAGAAUCUGCCAAGCAGUUUUCCAGAAGAGGUUAUUGUAUCAAUUUAUAGUCCUAUCAGAAGUAUUUCCAUUGCUUCAUACCUUUGCUAUCAGUGUUGCCAAUUUUUAAAAUGUUUAGUCAUUCUGGUAAGGGUGUGGUGAUAUCUCAUUAUUUUGCAUUUCACUGAUGACUAAAACUUGAGCACCUUUUCAUAUGGAUAUCUUCAUUUAGAUAUUUUGCAAAUUAUGUUUUCAGGUGCCUUGCCCAUUUUUACAAAUGGGUUAUGUUUUUCUUGGUUAUUUGUAGGAGCUCUUUAUUCAGAAUAUAAGCCUUUUUCUUUUUUUGAUAAAUGCAUUACAGAUAUUUUUCCUUCUUUUAUGGUUAGUAUUUGACUACCUGAUCACCUUUUGAUGACCAGAAAUUUUAAUUAAAUCCAUGUUAUUAUAUUAGUUUUUCCUAUUAUGGUUCUGCCUUUUGUGUCUUCACAAAUCAUUGCCUAACCUACAAAUUAAGGUAGAAUCUUAAAAGUAUCACUCCUCUGACUCAUGUCUCUCCAGCUCCACAUCCCCAGAAAGGAAAACUCCUCACCAGUUAUGAUAAAUUUUAACCUUCAUUUGAGCCUUGAGUAAAAAAAAAAAAAAAAAGCAUGACAGGAAAACAGGCACUGGGGAGUGUUCUCUAUUCACACGCUCUACCAUGUCUGUAUGUGUGUCUGGAAAGGUGUGGGCCUGUGCCUUACGGGCCAGGUGCAGCCCAAGGCUACAUGGUUGGUGCUUAUCUUUUAACAGGAUGAAAAUCAAAUAAUUACAUUGAAUAGUGCUCCCCAAAAUACUAUAUCAGUAAGUAUGCAUUAUUAAAAAAAAAAAAAGUCAUUAAAUAAUCAGCUGAAAGGCUGGGGUUGUGGCUCAGUGGUAGAGUGCUUGCCUAGUACAUGUGAGACCCUGCAUUCGAUCCUCAGCAAAUAAAUAGAUAGAUAAAUAAAGGUAAUGUAUCCAACUAUAACUAAAAAUAAAUAUUUAAAAAAUAAUCAACUUAAAUUAUUAUUUUCCAGCGUAUUACAGCAUAGUAAUACACUUGGACAAACCUGGCCACAGUAGUGAUAAUUCAGUAUAUAAAACUUUCAACAUUUUAUGUGAACCAAGAUUAAAAACAAAUUCCAUGAUAGCUGAAUUUUGCUGAUUAAAAAAAAAAAAAAUCUGAUAGCUUUUGACAAUGACUGUCACUGGCCAUCUCUCACCAGAAAAGCUUAACAUGUUUUUCUUCAGAUAUGCUGUCAAGCAAAGAGCCUUAAGGCCAGUGGAGACUGAAUGACGGGAAAAAGGGACAUAAGGUCAAAGAGAUUGUUUUUGAAAUAACUGAGAUGUCUAUUUUUAAUUCUUUGCAUAUAGCACAUUAAGUGUCAAUAGAGAAUUUUAAAUGUCUAAUGCUAAAAUGUUUUUGGUGUCUCCUUAAUGUAGCUAGUAGGUUCUCUCAAAGCUCUAAUGAUAUUGAUACACAUACAUACAUACAUACACACAUACACACACACACUAGUUUUAUUAUGCUUAAUAUCACACACACAAAAAAACUAGGAUGUCAAAAGAGCUAACAGUAUCAAACUGUCAAACCCUAGAAGCUAAACUUGAAAGCUCUUAGCUUUCACUUUGCUUUGGAAAUUCUAUGGCUUCAGUAUUCUUUUCUGUUCUACCACAAUGCUGUUAUUUUUAUUUGACUGAAGAAAAUGUACUUUAAAUUAAUAUCAACCCCUAGGUAAAGAAAAACAUUUGGCUUCUACAGGCAAUAUUCUUUGGAGAUAACAUGUUUGUCAUUCAUUACUGUCCAAAAAGACAAGAAAAGAAAUAAAAACAAGAUUUAAAUGGAUUUUGGUUUCUGUUUCACUGAUUAGAACUGACACCAGCCUUCAGAGAAUUAGACUUCUGGUAGGCAGACUUGGUUAAUUCUCAGUUGCUUUUAUUAAGC
rnacentral:lncRNA from 1 species